rnacentral:rRNA from 1 species
AUUGAACGCUGGCGGCAGGCUUAACACAUGCAAGUCGAGCGGGGGAAGGUAGCUUGCUACCGGACCUAGCGGCGGACGGGUGAGUAAUGCUUAGGAAUCUGCCUAUUAGUGGGGGACAACAUCUCGAAAGGGAUGCUAAUACCGCAUACUUCCUCCGGGAGAAAGCGGGGGCUCUUCGGACCUUGCGCUAUUAGAUGAGCCUAAGUCGGAUUAGCUAGUUGGUGGGGUAAAGGCCUACCAAGGGGACGAUCUGUAGCGGGUCUGAGAGGAUGAUCCGCCACACUGGGACUGAGACACGGUCCAGACUCCUACGGGAGGCAGCAGUGGGGAAUAUUGGACAAUGGGGGGAACCCUGAUCCAGCCAUGCCGCGUGUGUGAAGAAGGCCUUAUGGUUGUAAAGCACUUUAAGCGAGGAGGAGGCUACUCUAGUUAAUACCUAGGGAUAGUGGACGUUACUCGCAGAAUAAGCACCGGCUAACUCUGUGCCAGCCGCCGCGGUAACAC